rnacentral:rRNA from 1 species
UGGGGAAUAUUGCACAAUGGAGGGAACUCUGAUGCAGCGACGCCGCGUGAGUGAUGAAGGACUUCGUUUCGUAAAACUCUGUUCUAUGGGAAGAAAAGGACUGUACCAUAGGAGAAAGCUCCGGCUAAAUACGUGCCAGCAGCCGCGGUAAUACGUAUGGAGCGAGCGUUGUCCGGAAUUAUUGGGCGUAAAGGGUGCGCAGGCGGCUUUACAAGUUGGAUGUGAAAUAUUGUGGCUCAACCACAAACGUGCAUCCAAAACUGCAAAGGUUGAGUUAAGGAGAGGUAAGUAGAAUUCCUGGUGUAGCGGUGGAAUGCGUAGAUAUCAGGAAGAAUACCGGUGGCGAAGGCGUCUUGCUGGACUUAAACUGACGCUCAGGCACGAAAGCGGGGGGAGCAAACAGG